UACAGAGGUCUCAAGCGUUGUUCGGAUUCAUUGGGCGUAAAGGGUGCGUAGGUGGCGCCGUAAGUCGGGUGUGAAAUUUCGGAGCUUAACUCCGAAACUGCAUUCGAUACUGCGGUGCUUGAGGACUGGAGAGGAGACUGGAAUUCAUGGUGUAGCAGUGAACUGCGUAGAGAUCAUGAGGAAGACCAGUGGCGAAGGCGGGUCUCUGGGCAGUAACUGACGCUGAGGAGCGAAAGCGUGGGGAGCGAACAGG
rnacentral:rRNA from 1 species